AUGUGCUUCAAAAUGCUUUGGAUUGCAAGAAAAGAUCAAGUUAUUCUUGCUUCAUGGAUCAAUAGUCAAUUGUGCUUGAAAGGCCAUGAAAUUUAUUUAAAUAUUAUAGGUCAUUUUCUACUUAGAAUUUACUUCAUAUUGAUUUGUGUGUUGAGAUUAUUCGUCAUCAAGUCAAGAACCGUGACAUUUUUCAAGAUAUCCAUUUCAAGUUCAAUUUACAAUAUCAUUCAAGAUUCAAAAUCCACGGAUUCAAGUUUAUUCAAAGCUUCAUUUUCAAAUUCAAAAGAUGGAGGAAAUUUCUUACUUUCAUGA